rnacentral:lncRNA from 1 species
GAGCGAGGGCACCACACCACUCAUUUUCCUGAAAAUGCGAUCCCACGGACGCCUGAAAUCCAGUGCCAGGGGUGGAGGGAAAGCACUUUGAAAAGGCGGGUGAGGGGUCCUGCAGGGCGCUCGGCGACUUUCCAAGCCAGGGCCCCCGACAGACAGAUGCCUCUGAGCCCCCAGCCAUUGGACCCAACCAACCUGCCCUGGUGACCCCUCUGCUGGGUGGGCCAGGUUCUCCCCGGAGGGACCCAGCCUUGUGGCUGAGCAACAGCUUCCCCUCCCCAGACACAGGCCCUGAGCCUGGAGAGUGGGACUAGGGGGUUGAGGUCACCCUGCUCCUGUCACCCCCAUCUGCACAUUGGGGUAAAGGGCAGCAGUCACUCGAGAAUUAAACAAGGAGAGAGCCAGUUGCCCUGAGCGGGGGGAGGAGAGGAUGUCUGGGGGCCUGGAGGGAGAGUGGCGUCUGCUUUCCUCAUCCUGAGGAGAGAGGAUCUGCAGAAGGUUCCACAGCCCAGAGGAAGAAAGCAGGAGAGUCAGGUGCCUCGGAAAGAGAGUGGAGAGCAAAGCUGCUUCUCACAGUGAGGAGAGUGUCCCCUGUCAUCGUCCCCGCCCCCAACCCCAGAGUCAGCAGGGGCUCCGACAAAGGGGGAGAGAACAAUUCUCUCCAGGAGGUGGCGCAGCCCCUGCCUGGGGAGCUUCAUCUGAAGUCCAGGCCCCCAGCGGAGGCCAGAGCCCUCAGCCUCCCCAGGCCCGAGGUUCUUCACUGGGGCAGGAACAGGCAGCGGGGCACUGCCCCCAGGGGAGAUCUCGGCUGCAGGAAGAAGCGGCUGGUUUCCUUCAGGUCUGCAGAGCACAGACUUUUGCUUCUGAAUCAGGGCUUCCAGGAUCUUCAAGACCUAGCGGGCAAGGGACAACAGACUUGCCAGCUAAGACUUGCACAGUGACGAGAGCUAAAGCAGACCCCUCUACAUUCGUUCAUUCAAAAAAAUAUUUACUAAACUUGUUUCAAUUACCUGUUGCUGCAUAACAAACUACCC